rnacentral:rRNA from 1 species
UACGUAGGGUGCGAGCGUUGUCCGGAAUUAUUGGGCGUAAAGAGCUCGUAGGCGGUCUGUCGCGUCUGCUGUGAAAACCCGAGGCUCAACCUCGGGCCUGCAGUGGGUACGGGCAGACUAGAGUGUGGUAGGGGAGAUCGGAAUUCCUGGUGUAGCGGUGAAAUGCGCAGAUACCAGGAGGAACACCGGUGGCGAAGGCGGGUCUCUGGGCCAAAACUGACGCUGAGGAGCGAAAGCGUGGGGAGCGAACAGG